ensembl:lncRNA
AGAAACUCUUGUUUGCAACUGUUGGACUAAUGAUUACACCCGAGAUCAACUAGAUGCAGGCAAGAGUCUGCAAGGUAUUAAAUGUGUCACUGUCUGUCCAUGUGUCACUGUCUGUCAUCUCAAACGUUUCUCUUGACCUGUGUGCACCUACAUUGUAAACUUUCAUUCAUAGGCUAGGUUGUAGCAACCACAUGAUGGAUAUAGGGAAAAUUAGAGUAUCAUGUAGUAGCCUAAACCUAUCGAUGUUACAUUGAGCUGGAUGAAUGGAAUAUGAUUGACAGCCAUCCAACAUGCUGUAAUUUUAAGUGGUCCUCCCUCAUCUUAAACGGCACUGACCACCACUGGUAUCAGUGGGUAUCACCAGGUAUCCGUGGGUGUCAGUUGGUAAUAGUGGGUAUCACCAGGUAUCACUAGGUAUCCAUAGGCAUCAGUUGGUAACAGUGGGUAUCACCAGGUAUCCACAGGUAUCACUAGGUAUCAGUGGGUAUCACCAGGUAUCAGUGGGUAUCACUAGGUAUCAGUGGGUAUCACUAGGUAUCAGUGGGUAUCACUAGGUAUCAGUGGGUAUCACUAGGUAUCAGUAGGUAUCACUAGGUAUCACUAGGUAUCAGUGGAUAUCACUAGGUAUCAGUGUGUAUCAGUGGGUAUCAGUGGGUAUCACUAGGUAUCAGUGGGUAUCACCAGGUAUCAGUGGGUAUCACAAGGUAUCAGUGGGUAUCACUAGGUAUCAGCGGGUAUCAGUAGGUAUCACUGGGUAUCACUGGGUAGCAGUGGGUAUCACUAGGUAUCAGUGGGUAUCAGUAGGUCUCACUAGGUAUCCCUAGGAAUCAGUGGGUAUCACUAGGUAUCAGUGGGUAUCACUAGGUAUCAGUGGGUAUCAGUAGGUAUCAGAACUCCCAGCCGAGCCGUAUCACUGUGUGUGUGUGUGUGUGUCCUAUCGGAAAACCAAAGUUCACCUCAGAACCUCUAUACAGCCAGGUGUCCUGACCUGUUUCCCAGUAGUUACCUGACUAUCAUGCUGCACUGUGCUGCUGACACACUUAAACACACUACAGCAGAACGCCAAACUGGCCUGACCAUAAAGUACUAUGUGUAUGGUAAAAGACUAGCAUGAUAAUAGCAGACGUGUCUGUGUGUGCAUGCGUGUGGGAGAGUGCAUGAAUGCGUGUGUGUGUGUGUGUGGGAGGCAUCAUAAUGUAGAAGCCCAGACCAAACUAGGACAAGCCCUGACACUCUGACAAAGCAAACGGACACAUUGACAGAUCUAACCAUCUAUGAAAAAUGGUGAGAAAGCAUUGAGCCAGAC